AUUGAUCAUUUUACGCAAGACAAAAAAAAAGAAAGAAAAGAAAAUCACAUGUGCAAUGCUGCAUAUGCAUAUUUUAACAACAACAACCAUAAGGGCGAGUCAGAGAGGGUUCUGUGCUGCCUUUUAUUUAUUUUGGGUGGUCGGUUUGUGUUCCACUUUGGGUCGUACUUUGGUCAGCUCAUUUCUGUAACCAAGUCUAUAUUCAUUUCAUAAGUUCCUUGUAGCCCUGCAAUGGGCAGGCGCCCUGUCUCAUGUACUCAGCCUCUUGCCCAUAGAUACGCUGGGAUAGGCUCCAGCCUCUCAUGACCCUGUACUGCAGGACAAAGCGGGUUCAGAAGAUGGAUGGAUGGAUGGAUGUACAUGUAUUUUUAAUUUCUGAUAAAGAGCUUAUAAGAAAUAUUUAUGAAAAUUGUUUAUCACUUAUGUAACCCAGGUUAACAGGUUCUCACCAAUUGUCCAGUUUACCAUUUAAUUGGUGAAAUUAAUCAUUUAUAAAUAAAUAGUUGUUUUUUUUAUAACCUUAUUAAAGAGAAACCAGGAAAUUAAUAGUGUUUUUGAUCAAAACAAUCUUGGAUGUUAACAAAGAAACCAGAAAAAUUAAUGUAUGUAAGUUUUUAUAUCUGUUAAAACGGAUAUUUUACUUGAGGUGUGACGAAUGUGCCUCUCUGUGUACAAGCAACAGGAACAUGAGGAGUUCACGUGAUGCAAUGUGACCAAUCAGAUGCUGUUAAUGGCGUACGUGUGAAGUGGGACCAACGUCAAGGUAGCUGCGCGCUUACUCUGUUUGCUGCGGAUAUUACUGGGUUUUUGUGCUCAAGAACCAGAUAUAGACAACUUCUUUGUCACUGUAAUCACCGCCGUGGGCAGCGGAGUUUGCGGUGGAUCGAUUACUGGACCGUGUGCAAGGGAAACGAAGGAGAAAGAAGAGGAGAGGCGGCUCCAGCGGCAGCAAAACCGGUGACGGCUCAUUUUCUUCAGGCUGGGAGAGCGCAGUGGGGAGGUG
ensembl:lncRNA